CUAGUAGAGCAAGCAAGACACUGAAAUAGAGAGAGACGAAGAAGAAGAAGAAGGGGUUGCCGGAGUUGAACUCAAUUCAAUCUUUUUCGAAAAUGGUGAGGCCUUCGUCAUCGUCGUCCUCUACGAGCCAGGACGCCCUUGCCCUUUUCAAUUCUCUGAGAUCGGCUUACUCUGCCACUCCUACCGCUCUCAAGAUCAUUGAUCUCUAUGUCGGUUUCGCUGUAUCCACAGCUAUCAUCCAGCCAAAAUGAAGCCUUUUUCUCCAAAGCUCCCCAGCCCCAGCUAUGCCGUGGACUGUCCGCCUCUUCCUCUCCGCCGCUUCCUUUGCAGUUGACGCCUCUUGCCUCCCAAACUACGCCAUCAACCACCCACCAUCGCCUCAUGAACUUGCUGGUGGCAGAAGAGGUACCACGAGGGAUUGAAGAAACGCGGGAAUCAAGCGGAGCUGGUGGUGUUUCCGAAUACCAUUCACAUUUUCUAUGCUUAUCCCGAGUUGGAAGACUAGAGUUUGAAUAAACGUACAACUUGAACAAAAUAUUAACGGAGUCAUUAAUUAUGUAAUGUUUCAAUUUUCAAUUUUGUG